AUGAAUGCUAGCGACAGGCUAACACAUGCAAGUCGAGGGGCAGCAUAAAAGUAGCAAUACUUGGUGGCGACCGGCGCACGGGUGAGUAACGCGUAUGCAACCUACCUAUCAGAGGGGAAUAACCCGGCGAAAGUCGGACUAAUACCGCAUAAUACUAAAUUACUGCAUGGUAAUUUAUUUAAACAUUUAUGGCUUACAGAUGGGCAUGCGCAUGAUUAGCUAGUUGGAGAGGUAACGGCUCCCCAAGGCAACGAUCAUUAGGGGUUCUGAGAGGAAGGUCCCCCACACUGGUACUGAGACACGGACCAGACUCCUACGGGAGGCAGCAGUGAGGAAUAUUGGUCAAUGGACGAGAGUCUGAACCAGCCAAGUCGCGUGCAGGAAGAAUGUCCUAUGGAUUGUAAACUGCUUUUGCAGGGGAAUAAAGUGCAUCACGUGUGAUGUUUUGUAUGUACUCUGCGAAUAAGGAUCGGCUAACUCCGUGCCAGCAGCAGC
rnacentral:rRNA from 1 species